rnacentral:rRNA from 1 species
GGUUAAGCGACCAAGCGUAUACGGUGGAUGCCUUGGCAGUCAGAGGCGAUGAAGGACGUAGUAACUUGCGAAAAGCGUUGGUGAGCUAGUAACAAGCAUUUGAGCCAGCGAUGUCCGAAUGGGGAAACCCGGCAGCAUAAGCUGUCAUCAAUACGUGAAUACAUAGCGUAUUGAGGCGAACGAGGGGAACUGAAACAUCUAAGUACCCUUAGGAAAAGAAAUCAACCGAGAUUCCCCAAGUAGCGGCGAGCGAACGGGGAUUAGCCCUUAAGUCUUUGGGGU